GAUGAACGCUAGCGAUAGGCCUAACACAUGCAAGUCGAGGGGCAUCACAUGAGGUAGCAAUACUGAUGGUGGCGACCCGGCGCACGGGUGAGUAACACGUAUGCAACCUACCUUCCACACGGGGAUAACCCGGAGAAAUCCGGACUAAUACCCGAUAAUACAGGGGUCCCGCAUGGGAAUAUUUGUUAAAGAUUUAUUGGUAGAAGAUGGGCAUGCGUUCCAUUAGUUAGUUGGUGAGGUAACGGCUCACCAAGGCGACGAUGGAUAGGGGAACUGAGAGGUUUAUCCCCCACACUGGAACUGAGACACGGUCCAGACUCCUACGGGAGGCAGCAGUGAGGAAUAUUGGUCAAUGGAGGCAACUCUGAACCAGCCAAGUCGCGUGAAGGAUGAAGGUCUUAUGGAUUGUAAACUUCUUUUAUACAGGAAUAAAUUGAGUCACGUGUGGCUUUUUGCAUGUACUGUAUGAAUAAGGAUCGGCUAACUCCGUG
rnacentral:rRNA from 1 species